rnacentral:rRNA from 1 species
GACGAACGCUGGCGGCGUGCUUAACACAUGCAAGUCGAACGGAAAGGCCCUGCUUUUGUGGGGUGCUCGAGUGGCGAACGGGUGAGUAACACGUGAGUAACCUGCCCUUGACUUUGGGAUAACUUCAGGAAACUGGGGCUAAUACCGGAUAGGGGCUCCUGCUGCAUGGUGGGGGUUGGAAAGUUUCGGCGGUUGGGGAUGGACUCGCGGCUUAUCAGCUUGUUGGUGGGGUAGUGGCUUACCAAGGCUUUGACGGGUAGCCGGCCUGAGAGGGUGACCGGCCACAUUGGGACUGAGAUACGGCCCAGACUCCUACGGGAGGCAGCAGUGGGGAAUAUUGCACAAUGGGCGGAAGCCUGAUGGAGCAACGCCGCGUGCGGGAUGACGGCCUUCGGGUUGUAAACCGCUUUCGCCUGUGACGAAGCGUGAGUGACGGUAAUGGGUAAAGAAGCACCGGCUAACUACGUG